GUUCUUUUAGUUUCAUGAGAAAAACCUCGGUCUUCAUCCGAGUGAGUAGGCGUUCGAUUCGCCUAAAGAUCA
rnacentral:tRNA from 1 species